CCUACGGGGGACAGCAGUGGGGAAUAUUGGACAAUGGGCGAAAGCCUGAUCCAGCCAUGCCGCGUGUGUGAAGAAGGCCUUCGGGUUGUAAAGCACUUUCAGUGGGGAAGAAAGCCUUGGGGCUAAUACCCUCGAGGAAGGACAUCACCCACAGAAGAAGCACCGGCUAACUCCGUGCCAGCAGCCGCGGUAAUACGGAGGGUGCGAGCGUUAAUCGGAAUUACUGGGCGUAAAGCGCGCGUAGGCGGUCUGAUAAGCCGGUUGUGAAAGCCCCGGGCUCAACCUGGGAACGGCAUCCGGAACUGUCAGGCUAGAGUGCAGGAGAGGAAGGUAGAAUUCCCGGUGUAGCGGUGAAAUGCGUAGAGAUCGGGAGGAAUACCAGUGGCGAAGGCGGCCUUCUGGACUGACACUGACGCUGAGGUGCGAAAGCGUGGGUAGCAAACAGGAUUAGAUACCCCAGUAGUC
rnacentral:rRNA from 1 species